rnacentral:rRNA from 1 species
GGACCCGCACAAGCGGUGGAGCAUGUGGUUUAAUUCGAUGCAACGCGAAAAACCUUACCUACUCUUGACAUACUUGGGAGCUCUUGUAAUGAGAGUGUGCCUUUUGGAACCAAGAUACAGGUGCUGCAUGGCUGUCGUCAGCUCGUGUCGUGAGAUGUUCCGUUAAGUCGGAUAACGAGCGCAACCCUUACCCUUAUUUGCCAGCGAUUCGGUCGGGAACUAUAAGGGGACUGCCGGUGAUAAACCGGAGGAAGGUGAGGACGACGUCAAGUCAUCAUGGCCCUUACGUAUAGGGCUACACACGUGCUACAAUGGAGAAUACAGACGGACGCUAAGCCGCGAGGUGGUGCU